ensembl:lncRNA
AUCAGGGCAUUCAGACAACACAACAGAGUUGAAAGAAUGCCACAUAGAGGUGGGAGGGUUGCCAUAUUUACAGCUGCACAAGAAACCCUCAUUGUGGUUAUGGUUCGUGAGAACAACCUCAUCAGACUCCGGGAGAUCAGAGACAAAGUCAUUGACAAUAAUGUCAACUUUGAGAGCAUUGAUGAUGUCAGUUUGGCCACAAUAGACAGAGUUCUCCGGCGCCAAAAGAUGCGGAUGAAACAGGUCUAUAGGGUUCCCUUUGAGCACAACUCUGAGCGACACAAAGACCUACGUUACGAGUAUGUGCAAAGGAUAUUACAGUUGGACGCGAUGGCCAGACCUCAUGAGUACUUCUUCCUGGAUGAGGCUGGCUUCAACCUGCAGAAACGAAGGCAAAGAGGCCGUAACAUCAUUGGCCAAAGAGCCAUCACUGAGGUUCCUGGCCAACGGGGGGGUAAUAUAACUCUUUGUGCGGCCAUGGGUUUGGAGGGGCUUGUCCACCGGGCAUGCUGUCCUUGGGUCUUCCAACACCCAACGUCUCCUCACCUUCCUAGAGGAGCUAAAAGACAUCCUCCUGGACCGCCAACAACACCAUCCUGGGCCCGCACAUCACAUUUAUGUGAUCAUUUGGGACAAUGUACGCUUCCACAGAACAAACCAAAUCAGAGAGUGGUUCACCACCAACAGUAACCACUUUUUGAACAUCUGUCUGCCACCCUUUUUUGAACCCUAUAGAGAAGUUCUUCUCUUCGUGGAGAUGGAAGGUUUAUGAC